GUUGGCUCUUUUUUUUUUAGGACUUUGGUUGUUUUAGUUUCAGGUUUGCGGCAGAUUUGGUUUGGUAAUAGAGUGUCAUCAAUCAAGUUAGGUUUAAAGAAAAUUGGUGUGAAAAAGAAAAAGUGAUUUCAAUUGUUUUUACGCCAAUUGUAAUUUUAUUUUAUCUGCAGUUUUAUUUUUUGCUGGUUUGGUGGUAAGGUGUCACAUGCAAUGGCUGUUGCGCUUGAUGUCUACAACUUGUUUGCGUAUUUACUGACAUUGAUUGUUAUGUAAAUAGUUAUUUUGUACGUAUGUAUGUAUGUAUGUAUGUAUGAUAGAUUUGGUGGUAAGGUGUCAGUAAUCAUGAUAAAUUUGGUGGUAAGGUGCCAGUAAUCAAGGACCAGCUUAGAAUUUGUCGACAAAGUUGGGUGAAUCCAUGUAUGACGUGAGGGUCCUUCGCCACAUUUUAAUGCAGAUUUAUUCCAAUGUAAAUGGUUUUUCAAGCGUGUCUCUUGGAAGGGCUGUUACUCCUGAUGUCUACAAAUUGUUUGAGUUUUUCUAUUUUCAGAUUCAUGAUAAAUUUGGUGGUAAGGUGCCAGUAAUCAAGGACCAGCUUAGAAUUUGUCGACAAAGUUGGGUGAAUCCAUGUAUGACGUGAGGGUCCUUCGCCACAUUUUAAUGCAGAUUUAUUCCAAUGUAAAUGGUUUUUCAAGCGUGUCUCUUGGAAGGGCUGUUACUCCUGAUGUCUACAAAUUGUUUGAGUUUUUCUAUUUUCAGAUUCAUGAUAAAUUUGGUGGUAAGGUGCCAGUAAUCAAGGACCAGCUUAGAAUUUGUCGACAAAGUUGGGUGAAUCCAUGUAUGACGUGAGGGUCCUUCGCCACAUUUUAAUGCAGAUUUAUUCCAAUGUUUUUCUAUUUUCAGAUUCAUGAUAAAUUUGGUGGUAAGGUGUUAAUAAUCAA
rnacentral:sRNA from 15 species